rnacentral:rRNA from 1 species
GUGGGGAAUCUUGCGCAAUGGGCGAAAGCCUGACGCAGCCAUGCCGCGUGAAUGAUGAAGGUCUUAGGAUUGUAAAAUUCUUUCACCGGGGACGAUAAUGACGGUACCCGGAGAAGAAGCUCCGGCUAACUUCGUGCCAGCAGCCGCGGUAAUACGAAGGUCCCAAGCGUUGUUCGGAAUCACUGGGCGUAAAGGGAGCGUAGGCGGCGUGGUAAGUCAGAUGUGAAAUCCCGGGGCUCAACCCCGGAACUGCAUCCGAUACUGCCAUGCUUGAGGGUUGGAGAGGUAGCUGGAAUUCUCGGUGUAGCAGUGAAAUGCGUGGAUAUCGAGAGGAACACUCGUGGCGAAGGCGAGCUACUGGACAACAUCUGACGCUGAGGCUCGAAGGCCAGGGGAGCAAAAGGGAUUAGAUACCCUUGUAGUCC